rfam:Rattus norvegicus chromosome 12, whole genome shotgun sequence.
GGGGAUUUAGCUUAGUGGUAGAGCGCUUGCCUAGCAAGCACAAGGCCCUGGGUUCAGUCCCCAGCUCCG